AGGCGGGGCCGCGGGGCGGAGGGCGGCCGGGCAAAGUCCUCUUCGGCCGCCGCGGCGCCCCGGGGGCCGUGCGUCUCCGACCGGGACGCUGGUUUUGAGCGGAGCCAAAAGAAAAGCUCGCCUCCAUCUUUUGAUUGUGUCGGACACAGUUUGGAGCGCCGUUUGAAUGUAGACCAGCGAAGCAUUUUGAGGCGCUCUCGGUGGCUGCGCGUUUAGGAAUGUGUGGGAGCAUGGUACUAGUGAUAAUAGAGAUAAUAAAGUUUAACGAUUAACCCGGAUCGAUACUGCCCUGCGGAACACAGUCUUUGACACUCGCCCUCGUCCUGCAGGGUCGGGUUCGGUGCGCCUUCCUCGUUCCGCCCCGCAAGCCUGCUGCCUCCCGGGGUGGAUUUUGGUCGGUGACAACGCCCCGCAGAGGAAGGAAAAUUGCUGAAACUUUGGAGGGAUGAAAGGAUGCAGAAAUCCCAUAAUUUAAAACACUGGAAAAUUUUAUGGUCUUUGCUUCCAUGAGUUCUUUGGCAAGGGUACUGCAUUUUCAUUAACGCCAAGGCAGGGUGCUCCACCACCAAAAAGAUUACAACUUGCUGAAGGCUCAGAUGAUGGCUGGCAUUCUUUAGCACGAAGUAUUUCUUCGUGAAGGUACGUACAUUGGUGUAAACAUAACUUUUAUGUGUACUGGGAAACCA